AGGGCGUACCACGGGAGGUGGCCGCGCUUGUUCCUCCCCUGCCCUCCCCGCUGGGGGUGCGAGGCCGCCGCUCUCCCGCGGCGCAGCGGCCAUGGCGACGGGCCGUGGCAGGUUGAAGACCUUUGCUGCCAGGACUGGGGAAUGUUCUGAAACUGUAAAUGCUGGAAUUAAAAGUCUGUACUUGACACCUCCUGUAAAACCAAAACCAAGUGUGCGCUUUGAGAGCAUGCCAUCAGAAAUGCUGCUGAAGAUAUUUUCCUAUUUAGAUGCUGUGUCCCUAUUGGCUGUUGGUUGUGUGAAUAAAUACUUCCAUGAGCUGGCCAAUGACAAUGGAAUUUGGCUGAAACUCUAUUCCAGCUCUUUGCACCCAAAAUGGACAAUUUUGAAAGUGAAGUCUAAACAAACAGAAACUGUUUCUUUGGGCUGUGCUCCUUUAAAUGAUAAAAAGCCUGGGUACUGGAAGAAAGAGUACAUCCUCAAACAAACAUCUGCCUUCAAAACUAGAGUAAUGCGCCUCGUUAAAUUUCUAGAUCCUUAUACAGGUCUUCCAUGUAAAAACAAAGAAGCUAUGAAAGUCUCUGGGUUAAGUUGGAUAAUUGUCCUAAAGGACAAAAAUGGAAAAGAACAUGUGGUAGAGAAGCCAAAUCUAUCAUUUAAGGACACAUCUGUUACUGUACUUUGGCAUGAUACAGACUGGCCAUGCUUAGACAUCCUGUCAACCCUAAAACUGUUUGGAGUUACACCGCUGCUUCCUGACCAAAGCAUACCUCCCAACAAGAAUGGACCUCGUCGCUUUUCCUUGAUUGCUGAGUACCAUCUUGCUAACCUGACUGAAAAUAGUGUAGUGGUUGGUGCUGAUGAGCUUGUCCAGCUCUUCAGUCUGAGUCCAGGACUGUUAGUAGGAAUUUGGAAGGGGAAAAAUGAAAUUGCUUUUGUUAUGGCGAAUCUUCAUUAUAAUCAACUUCUUGAGAGAAGCAUUUUGGGUUCUGCUACUAUUCAAUAUUCUCCUCCACCUCAUAAACCUUUACUGGAUGAUAUUGACUCAGAAUAUGGACUGCAUGACUACAGCCUGCAUCUUGAUCUGCAUGGCAGAAACUGCAUGUACCUGUGUGGGUCCUUCAAGUGCCUCUUCUGCAGAAAACGUAAAGUUGAUGGAACAAUAAUGUCUGUUUUAAAAAUUAUCCCUGCUGUUACACCUUUCCUUCUUAUACCCAGUUUCUCUGUUUUAAGGGGUGAAACUGAAAUGGAAUUUUAAGAGUUAGCUAUCUUUCUGUUUGUGGUAUGGUUUAUAUCUGCAUUUGUGUGGUGUCCUAAGCCUGCUCUGUAAGAAGUCUGCCUGCUGGUACAUUGACACUGUCAGGCCUGGCACACAAAUUGUGCAGAUUUUUAGGGUCUUUUCUUUUAGUUUUGUGCUACAUUAAUAAUACACUGGCACAGUUCUUGGUGCAGGUUGAUGCUUCUUUUACAUAUAUUUUAUGAAGGAGAGAUGGAUACAUCUGGAAUCUUGUUUGUGUAGAAUUCUCCUCAAGUAUACAGACAGAUUAAAUAUAUACAUACGUUUGUAGAAGUUACUAUGAAUUUAAUAUUUAGAGUUUUUAUUUCGGUGAGCUUAAGGUUGCCUGUUUUGACAACCUUUCAUUAUGUGGAAAACAACUUCAGUCUUUUUCUGCUGCUUCAUUCUGUUCUCAGCACUUCUUUCCAUGAGAUGUGAUUGGCCAUCCCUGUUGUUCUCAUACAGCCCAGAUUCAUAAUUGUACUGGGGUUUUGAAAAAUACAUGGAUGAUCUCUUUUUUGACUUAACUUCAGCAUAACUUCCUAAGCUACACAGCUGUCUUUCUGUAAGCAGAGACAGAUUAAAAUUUUAAAAUUAAACACUGUAAUUAAUUUAAUUUAGAAUUAAGUACUGUAAAUUAAUUAUUCCUCCCCAGUAUUUUUUUUUAUACCGGCACUUCUGAGCGCUGUGGAUUUCAGAACAUAUUGUUUUUCUGUCAGUAGAGGGCGCUGUUGUCAGGCGUGAGUUCUUCUACAGGGCUGCAGAAUUUCCCCGUGAUUUGGUUUGGUUUUUCUCAUUUCUAUUUGGUGAUUGCAAGAGCUGUCAUUUAGACUGCAGCCUUAUGCAGUGUGGAGCGUUGUAGUCCUUGAACCUGAAAUAUACAUGUUUUCAGAUUCUAGAAGAGUGCCAAGCUUGAAUUAAAGGAAUACUUCUAAGGAUAAAACUUCAAUGAAAGUCUAUGCAUGUAGCAAGAAAUCUUACCUGAAGUGUUGUGUAGUACAGGAGUCCUCUUUAUGUUAUCAAAAAAAAAAAAAAAUCUUCUGAAAAUUGGCCAGAGAGUUGGGUUUUUGGGAUUGUGUUGGUUUUUCUUGUUUAGCUGAAUAUCACAUUUUGUUUUCUAAAAUGAAAAUGUUAUGCUUCUAGCAUUACAGUUGCACAAGAAAAAGGAUUAUGUGGCAUACUUCCUUUCUUGGUAUCACUUUCUUGCUGCUUGUAAGCUGCUUCCACAAAAGAUUAAGCUGAUGUUUAUGCAAAUUGAAGCAAAUGUCCAUGAGCUACAGUUGUGAUGCUGUCUCACUUUUCAAGUUACAGAAUCUGUUUUAUGUUCACAAGUGUUUCCUGAAUUGCAUUGGUUUUGUCACCUUCAGCAGUGUGACAGCCACCAGAAUCUGGUCUCAAAGGACAUCAGCUGAAGCCAUGGUUCUGCAGACAAUAAGCUCAUUUGUCAUCUAAUCCCUUCCAUGUGCUUGCACAAAAAUUCCUUUUGGAAAAUGCUUGACUUCUUCCAAAAAGGUGUAGUGAGGCAGUCUGCUGUCACAUUUUUCAUUGUGAUUUGUUAUUAAUUUUUGUCAUUCUUGUGAACAUGGUGAUGCUGAAUGUGGCCAGGUUUAUCCAAAUUGGUUGUGUUUGAUGGUUUGCCUUUUGUUUUUAAGGUCCAUUCUAAUAAUGGACCAUCCUUUGGGAGGACUCUGAGGCAUGGAAGUCCUGAAACAUGCUGGGAAGUCUUGCUAUUUCUGAAAAUUCUCUACCCAGUCCAGUUUUAUUUUAAAUUAUAGAUGCAACGUACCCAUGGCAGUUUCCACAACUUGAGGCACAUACCAGUUGUCAGCUAGUUCUGUUGUUGUACUUAUUUAUUAGUUUUCACUAGGAAGCUUUCGGCAUUCUUAGGUUACCAGAGAAUGCUCAUUUGCAUUUUGCAGAAUAACUGAUUUAUUUGUUGAAGAUUAAUUUUUGUCUGCUUUUUGUUAGUAUAUAUUAAUAUUGUGCUUCAUUUUGCUACUCCAUUUUCAAUUCAUUUUGCAGAAUUCUUAAUAUUAAAUUAAAAAAGGUUAUGUCACACUUCAUUGGACCAAGCAGAUGGAAUGUAUAUGGCUAUAGAUUUUUUUUUCUGUUAUUACACUUGCAUUGCAGUAACUAGCUGUUUUGCCACUGUUUUGGUUGGCGUUUGGCAUUUUAUUUUAUGCUCCCUUUCAUGUAAACAUAAUUAGUAAUAUGGUCUCAUUGACAGGUACUGUAGGUGAGUAUGUUAAAUACUUUGCAACUGAAUUGAAAAUUUUUAGAAAACUUGUUUUCAAGAAGUUAUGACAGGCUUUUCAUAUGACUCCCAGAAGCCAUGAGUCCAGGUUCUUAAUAAAUAUUUUUGAAAUGUAUUUACCUAGGUUUUCAACUUUUUAAGCACAGCUUUGUAGCCACUCGGUAGUUUAAGCUUUCACUUUUCAAUGUCAUUUCUUGUUGAUGUAAACUGAUGUGUUGUGCUUGCAAAAUGUAAGGGCUGAUUUUUGUGUAUUUAGAGAACUUUUAAGAUUUGUUUGUAAAAUUUCAUAUCAGGCAUUUGAAAUGUUUUGCUUGACCUUGAAGAUUGAUUUGCAAGUUUAAAUUAUGAUUUCAGUGUGAUAAGGCUGGUUGUUGGCACCCAAAUUAUUGUUAAACACAGCUUUUCCUCCGAAAAUACCAGUCAAAUGACAGCUUGCAACAAAGGCUUGGUUAGCAAAACAAACUUCCUUGGCAUUUAGCUAAAGUAAGUGCUUUGGAACUAUUGGUCUAUUUGUUUCUUCCCCCUGAGGUUUGUCUACAUGGUAUAUGUUCUCUUUGUUGGUAUUACCUUUAUUUGGAAGUAUUUGUUCCCUGUAACUUACUCUUCUGCUUUGCUUGCCGUUGCCAUGUGUGUCUUGCAUGAAUCAAGGACUAGAGAUAUUAUAAGGGGAUAAUGAAACAAAGUUUGGUUCAGCCUGAAGAAUGCCCUGUCCAAUUUGCUUCCUCUAUGUUUCUCUUCAUAUGUUUAACAUAGCUUGUCCUGCCCUUAAAUUUUAUUUUCUCAUCUGUCUGGGGUGAGGAAGGGGAGAUUUCAGUAUUUAGCCUUCAGUUUCUUGCUUGUUUCUAGGCAGGCUUUUCCUUCCUCCUGAAUGUGAGCACUGAAAUUGAGCUUUUAUAAUAAAAAAAAUAUAUAUAAAGUCUGGAUUAACCAACCCAUUAAUAAUUAGCCUUCAGAUUCUUGAUCUGUUGCCUGUUUCCAUUCUGGCUAAAGUUAAGAAGUAACUGCAACACAUCAUAACCGCAUGAUCUAUCUAGCAAUGGUGUAUUAAUGCCAUGCAAUAGUAGUGAUGUCUUUUGCUUCAUUGAUUUAUUAGCAGCAGAAUGUUUUUUUAAAUCCAUUUGUAUUCCAUUCAAAAUUCAUUUGAUCUGAAUGAGUAAGAGAAAUAGCAACUUCCAUUCAGAUUGGAAUUGUGCAUAACCAAGUAGUGCUUUUGGAAAAAAAUGCUCGUUGACUGAUGCUUUCAAGCCUCUUGUAUAAAAGUUCAACUUUAAAUGUGGACUUUCAGUGGUUAGUCAGUAAACUAUUUCAAUAAGAUAUUUUUACCUUAAUGAAAUUUUGUCAUUGAAUUUGAUUUACUGAGGUUUUGGAACUGAACCAUUUGGACAGAUGUCAACUUAGGGCCUUUUUCUACUUUGAGCUGGAUCCUGGAAAUGAAUUUUGCUUACAUUUUCUUCACUGAUUUCUUUGGCACUUCACUGCAAGGACAGUGGGUAUCACAGUUUGGAGGACUGCAUUUUCCUUCAACUAUACAAAACAUUUCCUACAAAAUAUUUCCUAGGCAAAGUCAUGUUGGUUUCACUGUAUUCACAUUCCUAUUCCAAACAGCGUCUGUACUGAAAAACCUGCAGCUGUUGUUCUCUGCCAUGUGCUGGGCUGCUUCCUUUCUGGAAUGAGUGUUCUUUGGACUUCCCACUGGUGAGUGAUGCCUUUCCAGCAUUGGUUUGUGGCCAGCUCUAUCUUGGGAGUUGCUUGGCUCUACAGUACCGAUUCAGAGAAGUUUUUGGCCUCUGUGUUAAAGUGUGUGCUUUCUUUCUCCAUCACUGUCUCCAGCUACCUGUUUCAAGAAGCCACCAAGAUGAGGUUUUGCUGCCACUGCAUGCUGGAUGCAGCCAUUGAACUUACAGCCAGCCUUAGGAUGUUGCUUCUUCUGUCUGUAGCCUCGUGCUGCUACUUGGGCUUGAUUGAAGGAGAAUCACAGGCAAAACACUUCUGCCUUUUUUCACUUCUGUCACUUGCAUCUUAAAUCUCUGCAAGCCCCUUCACUUGUUACCUUACCAGUCACGACCUGCUACUGGAUCCUGACAAGCAUUAUGUUCCUGGGAAUGCUUCUCUCCCUUUGUAUCUGUCUCCUGCAAGUGCUAGAUACUUUCUUUUUUGUACUGAGGUCUCUAGUGCUUUUGUUCUGCUCUUUUGAGAGAGUAUCUCUUGUUCGAGGAGACUUGUUUAAGGAAUGUCCUACCAAGAAAUCUGCUUGUAUCAUGAUGUGAUGCUUUUAUUUUCACUUUUCUUUGUAGUCAGAUCAUGUUCACUAUGAUGUAUCCCAAGUUAUAAUUAGACUGUUGGAUUCCCUGGUUAACUUUCCUUCUCUGAUAGCAAAGGAGAAAAAAAUUUAAAAAAAUGCGCCUAUUUUGAGAGGAGAGGAAGAGGUUCCAAAGAAAUAUGGUUAUAUGUAGUAAUAAAAAAAUCACAAAUCAUAAUAAUUCUGCCAAAAAAACCCCAGGGGCCUUGGAAAGCUAUUUAAACAAUGAAAAAAUCCAUAAUUUAAAAACUUGAUUCAAAUCAAAUCAUACUGCAUGUCAAUUUAAAUGAUGCAUUAUCCUUUCUAAGGAGGACUAGUCAUCUGUAUACCCUUUGUAUUGGGUUUUUUGAGUUUCCAGUCAGAGCUGAGAGAUUUAAAUAACUUGGAAAAAAAAGGUUGGGGAGGUAUCUCAUUGUUUUAUUUUGUGUGUUAGUGUUGAGCUUGACUUCUGGGGAAUGGGAAGUGAUGGAGGCACUGGUGGCAUGAAAUUGAAAUGCUGAAUGUGGAAUUUUCUCCUUGCAUCCUUGUGUGACAUUGAAAAUGGAUACCUGAGACUCAGAGUUGUAAACUUAAAGGAUAAUAGGAAGCACUUGCCUAUUAUUGGGACACUUGGCAUAUGCUGGGAAACAGAUGUGUUUAAAGGCAAUGUAAAG